rnacentral:rRNA from 1 species
GGUGAACGCUGGCGGCGUGCCUAAUACAUGCAAGUCGAGUGAACGGACGAGAAGCUUGCUUCUCUGAUGUUAGCGGCGGACGGGUGAGUAACACGUGGAUAACCUACCUAUAAGACUGGGAUAACUUCGGGAAACCGGAGCUAAUACCGGAUAAUAUUUUGAACCGCAUGGUUCAAAAGUAAAAGACGGUCUUGCUGUCACUUAUAGAUGGAUCCGCGCUGCAUUAGCUAGUUGGUAAGGUAACGGCUUACCAAGGCAACGAUGCAUAGCCGACCUGAGAGGGUGAUCGGCCACACUGGAACUGAGACACGGUCCAGACUCCUACGGGAGGCAGCAGUAGGGAAUCUUCCGCAAUGGGCGAAAGCCUGACGGAGCAACGCCGCGUGAGUGAUGAAGGUCUUCGGAUCGUAAAACUCUGUUAUUAGGGAAGAACAUAUGUGUAAGUAACUGUGCACAUCUUGACGGUACCUAAUCAGAAAGCCACGGCUAACUACGUG